rnacentral:rRNA from 1 species
GGACCCGCACAAGCGGUGGAACAUGUGGUUUAAUUCGAUGAUACGCGAAGAACCUUACCUGGGUUUGACAUGUUAGUGAAAGUUUCUGAAAAGAAUUCCCUUUAAAGAGCUUGCUCUUAAACACUAUCACAGGUGGUGCAUGGCUGUCGUCAGCUCGUGUCGUGAGAUGUUAGGUUAAGUCCUGCAACGAGCGCAACCCCUAUAUUUAGUUGCCAGCACAUAAUGGUGGGGACUCUAGAUAGACUGCCCGGAAUAACCGGGAGGAAGGUGGGGAUGAUGUCAAGUCAGUAUGUCCCUUAUACCCAGGGCUACACACGUGUUACAAUGGAUAGUACAAAAAAGUCGCAGUCCCGCGAGGAG